AUACGGAGGGUGCAAGCGUUGUCCGGAUUUAUUGGGUUUAAAGGGUGCGUAGGUGGUUUUUUAAGUCAGUGGUGAAAGCCUACAGCUUAACUGUAGAGGUGCCAUUGAAACUGGGGAACUUGAGUAUGGACGAGGUAGGCGGAAUUUGUGGUGUAGCGGUGAAAUGCAUAGAUACCACAAAGAACACCGAUAGCGAAGGCGGCUUACUAGGCCAUAACUGACACUGAGGCACGAAAGUGUGGGGAGCGAACAGGAUUAGAAACCCGAGUAGUCC
rnacentral:rRNA from 1 species